AUGCCCAAAUCAUGAUGUCUCCUAAAACGGCUUGCUACAAAUGCCAUCAAUUGUGACAUUGGGCAGCACUCUGCCCUUGGUACCCAAUAGCCUCAAGGUCAAGCACCAAGCCUUCCCUCACGAUGGUUCAACAGGACUGAAACAGCCCGCUCCAGCCAGCCUGCCUGUCACAGAAAACCAUCAUGGGGCUUGAGCCAAGGGUGCAGCUGGAUGUGGCAGAAACUUUGGAUCACUGGAAAAAACCCUGAGACGGAUUGUCAGAAGAUUCUCUGACCAUUCCUGAGGAAAUCUGGUCAACAAGCUAUGAAAUGCAGUGCUAGUUCAACAAGGAUGCAUAAAACUACAUCCAACCGCAGAAAAUACUCCUCACCACUCCUCACUCCUCACUGCUAUAAGAACUCUGAGGCUUGAGACUAGCAAGAGGGGGAGGCUCAAUGCCCCUCACCUUCCCAGCUCAGCAGGAAGUAGCCAGAGAAACAGUGAUGCCCCUACACCCAAAGAUUUGCCCUUCCAUCUCUUGACGGGGGAAUGUUAGGUAGUUAGAAUAGGAAAAAGGAGUCCAAAAUGGCAGUGGCUAAAAGACUAAGAAAGGGAAAAGU